GGCAAUCAUGACCCGUAUGAAUAAAUAUGGGUUGAUUUGGGUCAUUUUUAAUUUACUAUGGGUCUAUUUGGGUUUUCUUUUAAUGAUUAACGGGUCUAACUGGGUAAUUCUAAAACUUUAAAAGAUAUUCACGGGUCUACUUGGGUUGAUAGAAUUAGAACAACGGGUUGAUGCGGGUCAUUAGGGUUUUAAAUAGAAGAAACCACGGGUCUGAACGUCUGAACAUCAUCUUCAUCAUCGACGUUCAUCUUCAUCAUCUUUCGUACAUCUUCAUUCUCUGGUACUUAAUCGUUUAUCAUCGAUGUUCCUCCUUACAUUCAUAUGCUUCAGCACCGUAGAAAUUCAUACAUCAAUCGUGGUAUGCGCUGGGUUACACUUGAGGGAGGCUUGAGUUGGAUCUACCGAAAUUCAUUGAUUUUUAGUUCGAAUUAAGAGUUAGGAUUGUUCUGUUUUUUAAUUUGUGUUUCAUGAUUUUGCUAAUGCUUGUCAAAAUAUGAUGGAUAUUCUUAUGAUACAGAUUGUUCUGUUUUUGAAUUCAUGAUUUAGUUGAACAAUAAGUUUGGAAUUAGGGGUUGUUGUUGUGUAAUUUGGUAAAUGAUGAACCCAUGAAAAUCCAGCAGCAACUUUUAGAUGAUGAAACACGUGCUCUUCAGGUGGAGUUGUCGAGUCUUCUAGAUGCAGCGCGUGACACUGAAACAAAGAAGGUAGAGUUGUCGGCUUUAAAUCAUCUGAUGUCAACACAUGUUGCAACAGGCUCAACAAAUAGAGUAUCUGUAUGACCAGUUGAAUGUUUCUUUGCUAGAGGUGAACUUUCUUCGGUGAAUUGAGCAACUAGGGGUGUGAGCAAGUGAGCUGAAUUGCAAGGUGUGCAAUGAAUUGAUCAACAGCAGCUCAACAUUUUUGUGAAUUUUGUUCCACAAAUCGCUAUAAAACUAUGUCAUGCUGAGUAAUCUUGAUAAAUAUUUGUAUUCUUUUAAAAAAAAAACCUUUUUUAAACCAACACGACCCGGCCCAACC